rnacentral:lncRNA from 1 species
CAGCAUGCCCCGUGGGCGAGCCUGGACGCAGGCGGAGGUCAGCAGCCUCCUGGCGCUGGUGGGAGGCUCAGGGGAGGCCGCCCUGCUGAUGGCCUCCACGUCGCGGCCCAACGAGGCGCUGUGGCAGGAGAUCUCCCAGGGGCUGGCGGCGGCCGGCUACGGCCGCAGCGUGGCCCAGUGCCGCUCCAAGUGGAAGGCGCUGAAGCAGGCUUUCCACUCGGAGCGGGAGACGCGCCGCCGUGCCGGGCGGCACUCACCGCGCCUGCCCCCGCACUACCGCGCCAUGAAGAGUAUCUGGAAGGCAGCCGGGCGGCCCGUUUUCGGAGAGCGGCGGCUGCCCGAGCUGGUGAAGCCGCCCCCCCGGAGGCGCAGGUCGCUGGCCGCACGCUCGCCGACCUCGCCGGCACCGCCAGCUGCUGCAGAGACCCCCGCUGUGCUGCUGGCACCGCUGCUGCAGCACCCAAAGGACGAGCCGGAGAGCCUUUCAAGUGGAUGUGGGAUUCUCCUUCACUUCCAGUCCUAA